rnacentral:rRNA from 1 species
UGACACAGGGGGGUAGUGACAAUAAAUAACAAUGCCGGGCUUUUAUAAGUCUGGCAAUUGGAAUGAGAACAAUUUAAAUCCCUUAUCGAGGAUCAAUUGGAGGGCAAGUCUGGUGCCAGCAGCCGCGGUAAUUCCAGCUCCAAUAGCGUAUACUAAAGUUGUUGCAGUUAAAAAGCUCGUAGUUGAAUUUCUGGUCUCGGACAUCGGUCUGCCUCGAACGAGGUACGUACCAGUUGUCUGAAUCCAUCCUCGGGGAAAACAUGUCUGUCAUUCAGUUGAUGGGCAUGGGAUCCUCGUCAUUUACUGUGAGCAAAAUAGAGUGUUCAAAGCAGGCUUAUGCCGUUGAAUACAUUAGCAUGGAAUAAUAAGAUAGGACCUUGGUCUAUUUUGUUGGUUUGUACUCCAAGGUAAUGGUUAAUAGGAGCAGUUGGGA